GAUGAACGCUGGCGGCGUGCCUAAUACAUGCAAGUCGAGCGAACAGACGAGGAGCUUGCUCCUCUGACGUUAGCGGCGGACGGGUGAGUAACACGUGGAUAACCUACCUAUAAGACUGGGAUAACUUCGGGAAACCGGAGCUAAUACCGGAUAAUAUAUUGAACCGCAUGGUUCAAUAGUGAAAGACGGUUUUGCUGUCACUUAUAGAUGGAUCCGCGCCGCAUUAGCUAGUUGGUAAGGUAACGGCUUACCAAGGCAACGAUGCGUAGCCGACCUGAGAGGGUGAUCGGCCACACGGGAACUGAGACACGGUCCAGACUCCUACGCGAGGCAGCAGUAGGGAAUCUUACGCAAUGGGCGAGAGCCUGACGGAGCAACGCCGCGUGAGUGAUGAAGGUCUUCUGAUCGUAAAACUCUGUUAUUAGGGGAGAACAAAUGUGUAAGUAACUGUGCUCAUCUUGACGGUACCUAAUCAGAAAGCCACGGCUAACUACGUG
rnacentral:rRNA from 1 species